rnacentral:lncRNA from 13 species
AGAAAUUACAUUACUGGCAUUAAAAAGACAAGUCUUGAGACAGAUGUCAUAAUUUCUUCCACUGGCAAAGAGAAGAUGCUGAGCGGCAAUGAGAGCAGUCACCCUUGGCGGGUCCCUCUCCCCUGGAAAGUUUUGUGUCUGUUCUCAAGCACAGAAGGAUGUUGUGGUGUCUCUGCCCAGCCCAGCAUCUCAGCUACCUUUCGCACAGGUGCCAUAUUGACCCCCAAAUUGCUGGUGGCCUAUGCCCAGUAGCUUUGCUGUGAGACUGGACCAGCCAUUAGCAUGCUCAGGCACUUGCUCAAGACACAAGCACUGCCUGCCUUCAUCUGGGAAACCUCCUGGCACAGAGGCUGAAGGGUGACAUUUACUUACUUUCAUCAGUUGUUUUUGGAGAGCUGGAUUAGCUACUGGAUUUUUUCAUGGAUUUGCUUUUAUUGACACACAGCAGCUCUUGCUCACCCUCCUCAGCAAAUGAACUCCAAAGCACACAGUCAACUUCCACAGGAGAUGGAUACCCUCAUAAAGAAAAAUGCAGAACUCUCAGAGGGAACCACAGAAAGAAACAAACCACAGAGCAAAAAUUCUGUUCAUCUCUAAACUAGUUGUCCCUCAAUUAGGUAAUUAGAACUGUAAGAGACUGAAAAGGCCUCUACAAAGAUAGUGCGAUAACUUCACCAUGUCUGAGAUGAUGAAGGAAGACAGGGUCAUUAAAGCCAGGGAAAAAUUAUUAAUAAAAGAGGUGAUUUAUGUGCUACUCUUGUUUCUCUAGCUUACUGCUGUUUGACUGAGCUGAGAAAUGACAACUGGAUCUGUAAGUCUUGUUUCAGAAGAGAGGGAAUGUGUUGCAUCCUUGACAGACAUGCAGUUGCUGAUUGCCUGUGAUGGUUUGUUGCUCCUGAGCAGACGUGGUGAGGAUGAGGCAAGGGGUCAUGCCUGUUUCCCUCUAUUCUCUCUGGUUGCUCAUGGCAGAUUGGCUGAAAUUUGCUGACAGUUUGAAAAGAUACGUGGAGGAGCUGGGGGACCAACAGAUGGACAGACAGCCAUGGCAACUGUAUAAGCCUCAUUUCUUCAGAAAACCACACUUAAAAUAGAAGAAAAAUACAGUGGCUGACAGAUUUGAUUAACAUAAACAUACAAGGUUUUUAUUCCAUUAGCAUUCUUACUGGUCUAAAUAUUGCAAGAGAGGUUUAGUUGCCAUUUCUGAUAGAAAAUAAUUCAGCUGUGCAACAUUCUGUCUGCAAAGACUCCCUCAGACUGAAUUUCUAGGCAAAAAACACCCUUUCCCACUGCUUCUUCUCAUUAGUCAAGAGUUGCCUCUAACAGACACAGAGCAAGCUCUUAAACUUGCCUUGCGGAUUUUUUUCUUCUCUCUGUUUAUUCAUAUUUAACUUGGAAGAGCUGCAGACUGAGUAAGAAUAUUAAGACUCAUACUUGAAACAAUGCGUUAUGUACUAAGGGUAUAAAUCAAAGUCAUGAUGUCAGUGGAAAGACUCUCGUUAAAUUCAAUAGGUUUGGAGCGUCAGCUAAUAGAGAGUAGAAACUCUUGGUGAGAAAGUAUCAGCAUCUCAUGUGACUGAGGUCCUCCAGGCAGCUGAGUUGAGCCACCCUGUGUGUGCUGGGGCCAGGCAAAGUAAAUCCAAGCAGCACCACGCAGUGGCUUCCAGAAAUGCUAACCUGAACAAGCCCUCCAGUAAUAUAGCUGUUAGGGCUGUUUCUAGCAUUGAUGCAGAUUGUGAUACCUCUUCUUUUGAGUCUAAAAGGGUUGUAUGCUCUCAUAACACCUAAAAAUUAAUAAAAACACUCCUCUGCUCAAUCUCUGAUUUUGGGAUUAAAGUUCCUGACUUAUCCUUUCAACCAAGACUGUAGCUAGGAUGUCUUGUCUGAAUGCUGCCUUCAAUUUUUAACACCUUGACCACAAAUCAGAUACAUUUUUCUUCAGUAAUUCAACACAGCCUUUAGGACACUACUAGAUGAUACACUAGAAUCAUCUAGGGACUUAGAGGAACAUGUCCAAAUGAAAUGGAAUUUAACCUAAGGAAAAAGUCACUACAAAUUCCACCUAAAAUUCACCUUGGAAUAUCUUUGAUAAGUGGUGAGCAGAUCUUUUUUGGGUAGGAG